rnacentral:rRNA from 1 species
UUAAAAUGAGAGUUUGAUCCUGGCUCAGGACGAACGCUGGCGGCGUGCCUAAUACAUGCAAGUCGAGCGAGCGGAACUAACAGAUUUACUUCGGUAAUGACGUUAGGAAAGCGAGCGGCGGAUGGGUGAGUAACACGUGGGGAACCUGCCCCAUAGUCUGGGAUACCACUUGGAAACAGGUGCUAAUACCGGAUAAGAAAGCAGAUCGCAUGAUCAGCUUUUAAAAGGCGGCGUAAGCUGUCGCUAUGGGAUGGCCCCGCGGUGCAUUAGCUAGUUGGUAAGGUAAAGGCUUACCAAGGCGAUGAUGCAUAGCCGAGUUGAGAGACUGAUCGGCCACAUUGGGACUGAGACACGGCCCAAACUCCUACGGGAGGCAGCAGUAGGGAAUCUUCCACAAUGGACGCAAGUCUGAUGGAGCAACGCCGCGUGAGUGAAGAAGGUUUUCGGAUCGUAAAGCUCUGUUGUUGGUGAAGAAGGAUAGAGGUAGUAACUGGCCUUUAUUUGACGGUAAUCAACCAGAAAGUCACGGCUAACUACGUGCCAGCAGCCGCGGUAAUACGUAGGUGGCAAGCGUUGUCCGGAUUUAUUGGGCGUAAAGCGAGCGCAGGCGGAAGAAUAAGUCUGAUGUGAAAGCCCUCGGCUUAACCGAGGAACUGCAUCGGAAACUGUUUUUCUUGAGUGCAGAAGAGGAGAGUGGAACUCCAUGUGUAGCGGUGGAAUGCGUAGAUAUAUGGAAGAACACCAGUGGCGAAGGCGGCUCUCUGGUCUGCAACUGACGCUGAGGCUCGAAAGCAUGGGUAGCGAACAGGAUUAGAUACCCUGGUAGUCCAUGCCGUAAACGAUGAGUGCUAAGUGUUGGGAGGUUUCCGCCUCUCAGUGCUGCAGCUAACGCAUUAAGCACUCCGCCUGGGGAGUACGACCGCAAGGUUGAAACUCAAAGGAAUUGACGGGGCCCGCACAAGCGGUGGAGCAUGUGGUUUAAUUCGACGCAACGCGAAGAACCUUACCAGGUCUUGACAUCUAGUGCCAUUUGUAGAGAUACAAAGUUCCCUUCGGGGACGCUAAGACAGGUGGUGCAUGGCUGUCGUCAGCUCGUGUCGUGAGAUGUUGGGUUAAGUCCCGCAACGAGCGCAACCCUUGUUAUUAGUUGCCAGCAUUAAGUUGGGCACUCUAAUGAGACUGCCGGUGACAAACCGGAGGAAGGUGGGGAUGACGUCAAGUCAUCAUGCCCCUUAUGACCUGGGCUACACACGUGCUACAAUGGGCAGUACAACGAGAAGCGAGCCUGCGAAGGCAAGCGAAUCUCUGAAAGCUGUUCUCAGUUCGGACUGCAGUCUGCAACUCGACUGCACGAAGCUGGAAUCGCUAGUAAUCGCGGAUCAGCACGCCGCGGUGAAUACGUUCCCGGGCCUUGUACACACCGCCCGUCACACCAUGGGAGUCUGCAAUGCCCAAAGCCGGUGGCCUAACCUUCGGGAAGGAGCCGUCUAAGGCAGGGCAGAUGACUGGGGUGAAGUCGUAACAAGGUAGCCGUAGGAGAACCUGCGGCUGGAUCACCUCCUUUCUAAGGAA